CCUACGGGGGGCUGCAGUGGGGAAUAUUGGACAAUGGGGGGAACCCUGAUCCAGCCAUGCCGCGUGUGUGAAGAAGGCCCUCGGGUUGUAAAGCACUUUCAGGGAGGAAGAACGCCUGGUGGUUAAUACCCAUCAGGAAAGACAUCACUCACAGAAGAAGCACCGGCUAACUCCGUGCCAGCAGCCGCGGUAAUACGGAGGGUGCGAGCGUUAAUCGGAAUUACUGGGCGUAAAGCGCGCGUAGGUGGCUUGAUAAGCCGGUUGUGAAAGCCCCGGGCUCAACCUGGGAACGGCAUCCGGAACUGUCAAGCUAGAGUGCAGGAGAGGAAGGUAGAAUUCCCGGUGUAGCGGUGAAAUGCGUAGAGAUCGGGAGGGAUACCAGUGGCGAAGGCGGCCUUCUGGACUGACACUGACACUGAGGUGCGAAAGCGUGGGUAGCAAACAGGAUUAGAUACCCCAGUAGUC
rnacentral:rRNA from 1 species